AAGGGGUGCGCCCUGCGGGACGCUGAGAUGAUACCCUCGGAACCUGAUGCGGUUAGUACCGCCGCAGGGAUUGUCGA
rnacentral:ncRNA from 1 species